CAGGACGAACGCUGGCGGCGUGCCUAACACAUGCAAGUCGAACGGACGAGGGGAGCUUGCUCCCCAAGUUAGUGGCGGACGGGUGAGUAACACGUGAGCAACCUGCCCUUCGAGGGGGACAACAGCCGGAAACGGCUGCUAAUACCGCAUGACAUAUCCUUGAGGCAUCUCGGGGAUAUCAAAGAUUUAUCGCCGAAGGAUGGGCUCGCGUCUGAUUAGCUGGUUGGUGAGGUAACGGCUCACCAAGGCGACGAUCAGUAGCCGGACUGAGAGGUUGAACGGCCACAUUGGGACUGAGAUACGGCCCAGACUCCUACGGGAGGCAGCAGUGGGGAAUAUUGGGCAAAUGGGGGCAACCCUGACCCAGCAACGCCGCGUGAAGGAAGAAGGCUUUCGGGUUGUAAACUUCUUUGACGAGGGACGAUAAUGACGGUACCUCGAAAACAAGCCACGGCUAACUACGUGCCAGCCGCCGC
rnacentral:rRNA from 1 species